CCUACGGGCGGCAGCAGUAGGGAAUUUUCGUCAAUGGGCGCAAGCCUGAACGAGCAAUGCCGCGUGAACGAGGAAGGUCUUCGGAUCGUAAAGUUCUGUUGAAGGGGAAAAAGAGCGGAGAGAGGAAAUGGUCUCCGAUUGAUAUUACCCUUCGAGGAAGUCACGGCUACCUACGUGCCAGCAGCCGCGGUAAUACGUAGGUGGCGAGCGUUAUCCGGAAUGAUUGGGCGUAAAGGGUGCGUAGGCGGCCUGCUAAGUCUGGAGUGAAAGGUACCGGCUCAACCGGUACAGGCUCUGGAAACUGGCGGGCUAGAGAGCAGGAGAGGGCGGUGGAACUCCAUGUGUAGCGGUAAAAUGCGUAGAUAGAUGGAAGAACACCAGUGGCGAAGGCGGCCGCCUGGCCUGUUACUGACGCUGAGGCACGAAAGCGUGGGGAGCAAAUAGGAUUAGAUACCCCAGUAGUC
rnacentral:rRNA from 1 species